UACGUAGGCAGCGAGCGUUGUUCGGAGUUACUGGGCGUAAAGGGUGUGUAGGCGGUUCUUUAAGUUUGGUGUGAAAUCUCCCGGCUCAACCGGGAGGGUGCGUCGAAUACUGAGGAACUUGGAGUAUGGGAUGGGAAAGUGGAAUUCCUGGUGUAGCGGUGAAAUGCGUAGAUAUCAGGAGGAACACCUGUGGUGUAGACGGCUUUCUGGACCAUAACUGACGCUGAGACACGAAAGCGUGGGUAGCAAACAGGAUUAGAUACCCUGGUAGUCCACGCCCUAAACGAUGCAUAUUUGGUAUGGGUGGUUCAUUCUAUCCGUGCCGGAGCUAACGCGUUAAAUAUGCCGCCUGGGGAGUACAGUCGCAAGGCUGAA
rnacentral:rRNA from 1 species